AUGUAAUAAUAACCUCAUUAUUAGCUAUAAUAAAGUCAUAUUUAUUGUUAAUAAAUAUCAAGUUACACAAGAAACUAUCUCAAGCUGGAACUAAUAAGGGCAUAGCACCUCAAUACGUGUUCCCUAUUCUGAAGUGUGACUAUGUUUUUACUUGCUGAUUUUUUUUCUCGUUAAUGACCUCAUUGGACAGAAAGGGGCACACCUCCCUCAUAUAUACCAUAUACAGCCAACAUUCAAGAUACAUUUUUAUGUAAUCAAUUAGCAACUAAACCAUAUAUAAUUCCAUACGUUGGCCGUUUGGCAUAUAAUGUGGCAUACUUACUAUGACUAUGAUAUGGGGUUGCCUCACCUGAUGUGGUUGCCUCAAUUGAAAUGUAAAUGAAGGGCAAUUAUAUUGUGAGCAAAAUUAUUCGUCAUAUCACUUUAGUAAAUUAUUUUUAAAGGGUUAAAGACUUAAUAUUUGACCUUCUAUGGCCUCCAUUUAAGAAAAUCCUAAUUUACCUAAAAUGUGUCAUUGGUGUUACCAUCAUUGGUGAUACUACUCCUACUGUGGCACAAUUCUAUCAUAACGGUAGAAAUUAUUUAAAGUCAUUAAGCUGCCCUUUUAGUUGAGUUUGAAAUGGGAAGAUGUACCCAAAUACAUUUAAAUAUUUAAAAUCUAGAGAAUGGACGUUUCCAAAAUCCCCAAAUGCCACUGCAAUUCAAGAGCGACCCAGUUGUCAUUGUUUCCCUCAAGAAGUUAUGGUAAUUGAAAAUGCAACUACGCAUUAUGAAUACAUUGUCUUAUAAAUGCAUGUGUGGUGAGGAUCCUAAAGAUAAAUGGCACUCUUAAAAUAAUCACAUCAAUCUUAUCAUUUUAUCAGGCUUUGGUUUGUAUCGUCAGAACAAUACUAAACUGGAAUGUAGUAAUGGAUGUUCUGUAACAGCACUGCCGUGUAUUAUUGAAAUCUAACAUUAUAUUUUUAUUUUAAAUAUGGCAACUCUGACACUUAUAAAUGCUUUACUGACUGUUUUAUCUAGUAGUGCAUUGCAGUACACAUAUUUAAAAAUACAUGCAC
rnacentral:lncRNA from 1 species